UGCUACAAUGGGACGUACAAAGAGCAGCAACACAGCGAUGUGAAGCCAAUCUCAAAAAACGUCUCUCAGUUCAGAUUGGAGUCUGCAACUCGACUCCAUGAAGCUGGAAUCGCUAGUAAUCGUAUAUCAGCAAUGAUACGGUGAAUACGUUCCCGGACCUUGCACACACCGCCCGUCAAGCCAUG
rnacentral:rRNA from 1 species